rnacentral:tRNA from 1 species
GGGGCUGUGGCUCAGUGGCAGAGUGCUUGCCUAGCACAUGCAAGGACCUGGGUUCAAUCCUCAGCACCACA